AGAGAGUACAAAUACUGACUUAUGACUUUUCUAUUUGAUGCAGUCAAUAGCUCUUACUUGAGAUUUGCAGUAUACUGUGUGAUUUAUUGCUUAAUAAUUAUCUUUAAGGAUUGCUUUAAAUUUUGUGAGUUUAUGCAUGCAGCAUAGAGAUCUUAAUAGUGUUGAAGAUUUUUUGGAUAGUUAUUUGAGUGGGAUAAGAACUGCCUAUGGAGGCAUUGAGAUUAUUAAAGAAGGAAGCUGAGGGCUGCAUUGUGCUGAUAUUUUCUGCAUUGGAUUUUGGUUAUCUUGUGGAGAUCCUUAAUCAUUUAAUACAGAUAUGAUUCGUCGUCUAGCAGACAUGGCAAAUACUCAAUUUAUAACAACAACAUUUCGGCCAGAGCUUGUGAAAGUGGCUGACAAAAUAUAUGGUGUGACACACAAAAACAGAGUGAGCCGAGUCAAUGUUGUCGCCAAAGAAGACGCCUUAGAUUUUAUUGAGCAUGAUCAGUCUCACAAUACACCUUAGUUUAAGGAGAUAAAUUUGGAUGAUGCAUUUGUUAGUUAUGUGUAAGAAUGAUGGGGUGAAGCAUUGUGUUGAGUUGGUUGGUUCUUGUGUUUUAUAUUUAUAGGUUAACUAGAGGAAUGACAGGGCUGUAUAUGUUUUACCUGAUUUCUAGUAUUUUCUUACAAGCCGUAUUAACCUUUUAGUGACGAUUAGAAGGAUUUGGAUCUUUUUAUUUAAUGUAUUCAUAUAAUUUUGUGUGGACUUGAUUGGUACAAAUAAAUAAAUAAUAGAUGAAUGCUAAGGAUUUUA